GAUGAACGCUGGCGGCGUGCCUAACACAUGCAAGUCGAGCGAUUCUCUUCGGAGAAGAGCGGCGGACGGGUGAGUAACGCGUGGGUAACCUGCCCUGUACACACGGAUAACAUACCGAAAGGUAUGCUAAUACGAGAUAAUAUGCUUUUAUCGCAUGGUAGAAGUAUCAAAGCUCCGGCGGUACAGGAUGGACCCGCGUCUGAUUAGCUAGUUGGUAAGGUAACGGCUUACCAAGGCGACGAUCAGUAGCCGACCUGAGAGGGUGAUCGGCCACAUUGGAACUGAGACGCGGUCCAAACUCCUACGGGAGGCAGCAGUGGGGAAUAUUGCACAAUGGGCGAAAGCCUGAUGCAGCAACGCCGCGUGAGCGAUGAAGGCCUUCGGGUCGUAAAGCUCUGUCCUCAAGGAAGAUAAUGACGGUACUUGAGGAGGAAGCCCCGGCUAACUACGUGCCAGCCGCCGCCGUAA
rnacentral:rRNA from 1 species